GAAACUGAAUGAACUGGACUCUGAGAUGAACUGAGAAGCAAAUUAUCAUUUGACCUCACAAGUGGCAGCAGAAGCUUCACUACAGUUUUCUUUAAGAAACCACUGGCAGAGCUAGCUUGUUUUCCAGGAUUGCUAAUAGCAGCUACUGUGCCUCUGUCAGGCUAGCUAGCUAGCAGCAGUUAGCAGGAGUUUUGUCAACAAACAAACAAGAGUGCAGUGGGAUAUUGGAGUUUAUGGAUAUGGACCACAUAUGGACAUGGACCACAAAGAAGAAAGGGCUUCAGCUUCAGAUGAGGACAAGAUUUUCCACAUUUCCAUGAUGUUAUGAGUCUGAUAUGAGGCGUCUCCUCAAACACGCCGUGUCACAUUUUUGACAGCUGUCUGAGGUGGAAGAGGAAGAGUCCGGAUCAGCACGUCUGAAGCUGCUGCACCCCCCAUGUCGCUGGAUUACAUCACCACGUUAUUGGCCCCAGGUGAGCCCACAUUAGUCGCAGUGCAGGAGGUCAAAUCAAUGAAUCCCUACUAAAAUGAGUCGACUCCCUGCAGCAGUUUGGUAGUUUGCUCACAGGUUGUCAUCCUGCCACACCUGCCAAUAACAUACUAUCUAUUUCUACACACAAAACAAUAUUAGCUGUGGUCAUUGUGGAGUUUGUAAUGAAGACAAGACUUUAUUAACCGCCACUGACCUCAUAAAAACAGACACAACUGGAACAACUGAUUUUAACUCAUUUUGUUUUUACACAGCAGAUCAGUUUUAAAGAGCCUAUGUGUUGGAUUGUGCAAUUUCACAGACACUUCAAUAAAACAUCAAAUUAAAUAAAAAUAAUAUUAAAACAAUUACAAUCUAACACCAGUUUUCUAAAAUAAAAAAUAAAAAGUGUAGCCAAGUGGAAGCAAGCUCUGUAAGUGUGUCAGAAAACAACACUGCAAGAAACACCUGCAGUGAAAAUCAGACUGUCUGUCUGUUAGAGGGGAAAACUUCAUGUCUUUAUUAACAUGUUUGAAAUAUACUGUAUAUUGUAUGACUGGUUACAGGUCAAUGUCAGGCACUGAUGAAUAUUUCUCUCUAGAGGAGAACGGGGAGUGACACUUUAAAAAAAAAAAAAAAAAAAAAAAAAGGCCUACACUGUUUUUUGUGUAAUUGCUGAAGUGUUGAUUGGAUAUCGAUGCGGUGCUGAUGGUCGACAAAUAAACGCCUCGCACCGGAUGAGUGGUUUUCUGCUCAUGACUGCGCGCUCUCACCUGCGGGAGAAACUCUCAGCAGCCCCACGCAGGGGGCAGAAUAUGACCGUCGGGGUCUUACCUGUA